rnacentral:rRNA from 1 species
GUAGUCCACGCUGUAAACGUUGGGCGCUAGGUGUGGGGGACUUCCACGUCCUCCGUGCCGUAGCUAACGCAUUAAGCGCCCCGCCUGGGGAGUACGGCCGCAAGGCUAAAACUCAAAGGAAUUGACGGGGCCCGCACAAGCGGCGGAGCAUGUGGCUUAAUUCGAUGCAACGCGAAGAACCUUACCUGGGUUUGACAUGCGCGGUAAUCCUGUAGAGAUACAGGGUCCUUCGGGGCCGUGUACAGGUGGUGCAUGGCUGUCGUCAGCUCGUGUCGUGAGAUGUUGGGUUAAG